GAUGAACGCUGGCGGCGUGCCUAAUACAUGCAAGUCGAGCGAAUGGAUUAAGAGCUUGCUCUUAUGAAGUUAGCGGCGGACGGGUGAGUAACACGUGGGUAACCUGCCCAUAAGACUGGGAUAACUCCGGGAAACCGGGGCUAAUACCGGAUUACAUUUUGAACCGCAUGGUUCGAAAUUGAAAGGCGGCUUCGGCUGUCCCUUAUGGAUGGACCCGCGUCGCAUUAGCUAGUUGGUGAGGUAACGGCUCACCAAGGCAACGAUGCGUACCCGACCUGAGAGGGUGAUCGGCCACACUGGGACUGAGACACGGCCCAGACUCCUACGGGAGGCAGCAGUAGGGAAUCUUCCGCAAUGGACGAAAGUCUGACGGAGCAGCGCCGCGUGAGUGAUGAAGGCUUUCGGGUCGUAAAACUCUGUUGUUAGGGAAGAACAAGUGCUAGUUGAAUAAGCUGGCACCUUGACGGUACCUAACCAGAAAGCCACGGCUAACUACGUGCCAGCAGCCGCCGUAA
rnacentral:rRNA from 1 species